GACGAACGCUGGCGGCGUGCUUAACACAUGCAAGUCGAACGGAAAGGCCCUGCUUUUGUGGGGUGCUCGAGUGGCGAACGGGUGAGUAACACGUGAGUAACCUGCCCUUGACUUUGGGAUAACUUCAGGAAACUGGGGCUAAUACCGGCUAGGAGCUCCUGCUGCAUGGUGGGGGUUGGAACGUUUCGGCGGUUGGGGAUGGACUCGCGGCUUAUCAGCUUGUUGGUGGGGUAGUGGCUUACCAAGGCUUUGACGGGUAGCCGGCCUGAGAGGGUGACCGGCGACAUGGGGACUGAGAGACGGCCCAGACGCCUACGGUAGGCAGCAGGGGGGAAUAUGGCACAAUGGGCGGAAGCCUGAUGCAGCAACGCCGCGUGCGGGAUGACGGCCUUCGGGUUGGAAACCGCUUUCGCCUGAGACGAAGCGUGAGUGACGGUAAUGGGUAAAGAAGCACCGGCUAACUACGUG
rnacentral:rRNA from 1 species